rnacentral:rRNA from 1 species
UACGAAGGGGGCUAGCGUUGUUCGGAAUUACUGGGCGUAAAGCGCACGUAGGCGGCUUUGUAAGUCAGAGGUGAAAGCCCGGAGCUUAACUCCGGAAUUGCCUUUGAGACUGCAUCGCUUGAAUCCGGGAGAGGUGAGUGGAAUUCCGAGUGUAGAGGUGAAAUUCGUAGAUAUUCGGAAGAACACCAGUGGCGAAGGCGGCUCACUGGACCGGUAUUGACGCUGAGGUGCGAAAGCGUGGGGAGCAAACAGG